UAGGGAAUCUUCGGCAAUGGACGAAAGUCUGACCGAGCAACGCCGCGUGAGUGAAGAAGGUUUUCGGAUCGUAAAACUCUGUUGUUAGAGAAGAACAAGGACGUUAGUAACUGAACGUCCCCUGACGGUAUCUAACCAGAAAGCCACGGCUAACUACGUGCCAGCAGCCGCGGUAAUACGUAGGUGGCAAGCGUUGUCCGGAUUUAUUGGGCGUAAAGCGAGCGCAGGCGGUUUCUUAAGUCUGAUGUGAAAGCCCCCGGCUCAACCGGGGAGGGUCAUUGGAAACUGGGAGACUUGAGUGCAGAAGAGGAGAGUGGAAUUCCAUGUGUAGCGGGGAAAUGCGUGGAUAUAUGGAGGAACACCAGUGGCGAAGGCGGCUCUCUGGUCUGUAACUGACGCUGAGGCUCGAAAGCGUGGGGAGCAAACAGG
rnacentral:rRNA from 1 species